UUAAAUUGAAGAGUUUGAUCAUGGCUCAGAUUGAACGCUGGCGGCAGGCCUAACACAUGCAAGUCGAACGGUAACAGAAAGCAGCU
rnacentral:rRNA from 3 species